rnacentral:lncRNA from 1 species
GCCUGUUGAUGGCAGUUAGCAUGCCAAUUUGUGAACCGCAAGCGCACGGAUCAUCAUAGCUUUUCCCUUAGUAUUCCAUCCAACAUUUAUCAAUCAGUGGAUCAGUAGUGAACUGACUAGGGUUUUCUAGCUAGCUCAACGGAUCUAAUCCUAGCAUGAAGCAUAGAUUGCACAUAAAGGGUAACCUUGAUGUAAAGAUGAAUAUCAUGAGUAAAGGUAGAUCACAUCCACAGAUAUAUAUGAUAACACCACAAAGGUAGCAAGAGCCUAUCAUCUUCUAGUUGUAGUUCUAGCCAACGAGCAAGCAAAUCAUACAUCUGAUCUAAAGUAAUCUUUAAACUACUACCACCGGUCAACCUCCCGAAAAGCCCC